rnacentral:lncRNA from 1 species
CUUUGCUGUUUUCUUUUUUAAAAGAAAGAAAUUAAAUCGUGAAUGAAAGAAGUCAGAGUUCUCUGUCAAAUUUUCCCGGAAGGGCAUUGCUUUGUUUUUGUUUUGUCUUCUUUGCUUUGCCUUUCUCCUGUAGUUUAUUCCUCAGAUGCUUUUUUUUUUUUCUUUUGGUUCCUUUUUAGGGCCAUGCCUGCAGCAUAUGAAAGAAAGUUCCCAGGCUAGGGGUCGAAUCAGAGCUGCAGCUACCAGACUAUGCCACAGCUCACAGCAACCUAGAUCCUUAACCCACUGAGUGAGGCCAGGGAUUGAAUCCUCAUCCUCACGGAUACUAGCCAGGGUCUUAACCCGUUGAGCCACAAUGAAACCCCCCCACCCAGAUGCUUUUUAAUUGUUCACCACCUUCUAAGAUGCGUAUGAGAUUCUUUGGCCACUGUGGCAGGUCCAGGUUUAACGGAGGGGAUAGAAGGCUUGUCCUCCCCCAAGUCACCUUCAUUUAAUACCUCAAUCUCAGACAGUUGAAUCCAUGAGAAGUGAGAGGCUGCUGUGUCAUUUUGUGUUUUGUUUUGAUACACCCUUUUGGUUUCAGGCCCUUUACUGCCCUCUGACUUACAACCUUCAUUUAUACCCAUUCUUUACCAUGAAGGGGUUCCCAGUACAGCCCAGAGGCAGACAGAGAUGGGACCUCUAAGAGGGAUCGAGAUCUCUACCCAAGACCAGCCAUGGCAUCCAUGUGGCACCGACCAAUUUACAGUUUCUGCUAUUCAAAUAAAGUCUUUAUUUCAGGUUGAUUUUUCACAGUUUUGCGCUUCCCCCCCUGGAGUGUUUCUCUCUGUAAUACCACUGAAUCAAGUUUAAAUUUUAAUUAAAAUUUAGUCCGGUGGCAACCUGAUGUUUUAUUAAAUUUUAAUUUAGCCCAAGCCGGAUAAAGAGAUUUCUUCCGACAACAAAGGAACCCUGUUAACAGGGUUCAGUUAUGAUGAAGCAGAAUUUGUUGAAUUGCUAAGAGAUUCGGGUACGGGGAAGAAGUGAAGAGGAAGCACUUGAAUAAUUUUUAUUAAGCAGGGGAGCAGGGGUGUGUGACGUGAAGGCCAGAAUGAACUGGAGGAAGCACAGGUCAGAGGACCCCAGAUGAUCUAGACCCAAGUUUACACUUGCAAGUUCUCUGCCUUCCUCUGAAUUCGUUUCCUUCUGCUUCACGUCUCUUUCUCUGCCUCUAAGCAUCUUUGAGCAUCUGUCUUUUUUUGCUCUCUGUCAGUCUGUAGCUGGUUUACCUACAGCAGCUGUUUCCUCCUUGUUCGGCCUUCCCUUUCCUCUGUCCAGGGUCCUGAUCUGAGCAUCCCAGGCUCCUGAGUGCAGGAGGCCAAGCUGACCACACCAAGGAAUGAGGGAUGGCAGGGACUUGCUUGGGAUCAGGAGGAGGCUGCAAGGGCAAUGCUGCUUCCCUUCCCCAUCGGAAUAGACAUCUUGCUCAUGAGCAGAAAACACCCUCGCUGGGGAUAAUAUUUUCUGAAGUGCAUUCACAUACCACCUUCACAGUUCUUGCCAACUGCAUGUAACAUUAUGCCUUUAUAUACUGAUGAUUAUUUUUUUAAAUUAAUUCACCUCUUAUUUUUGAAUUGAGGUAGAGUUGGUCUGCUGUAUUAUGUAAGUUUCAGGUGUACUACAUAGUGAUUCACAAUUUUUAAAGGUUAUAUUCCAUUUAUAGUUACUAUAAGAUACUGGCUAUAUUCCCUGUGCUGUGUAAUAUAUCCUUGUAGCUUAUUUAUUUUAUACAUAGUAGUUUGUACCUCUUAUUCCUCCUCCACCCCUAACUUCCCUCUCCCUCCUUCCCUCUCCCCAUUGGUAACCACUUGUUUGUUCUCUGUAUCUGUGGGUUGACUUAUUUUUUGUUAUAGUCACUUGUUGUUGGUUUUUUUUUUUUUAGAUUCUACAUAUAAGUGAUAACAUAUAGUAUUUGUUUUUAUCUAUUUGACUUAUCUCACUAAGCAUAAGACCCUCCAAGUCCAUCCAUGUUGUUGCAAGUGAUAAAUUAAUUCACCUUUUAGGUGUAAAAAAAAAAAAAUCCCUAAAUUUAGCUACACUUCAAGUCUACACUCCAUGCAGACAUGAGUUUUAUGUGUGUAAUAUUUCAUAUACACUUUAAAAUGUUAAAAGUCAAAAGAACAAAAACGAAGACAAAUUCAACUAUGCAUUACCUAAAAUAAUUUUAAGUAUUACCAGUGUCAAAACUGGCAAUACUUAAUAGUUUGGCAAUACUUAAACUGGCAAUACUUAAUAGCUUCUUAGAGAGCACUUCUGCUUUUUGUUUGUUGGCUUGUUUUAAUUUUUAUUUUUCCUCUAAUUCUAUUUGGCCAGGCUUAUGAAUCUGCCAGAAUCCCUUCCGUGGCUCUGUCAUGCUAUUUGCAAGGGUCUGGUUGAACUCCAAAUCUAUUGUUUCUGGAUGUUUUUAACACAUUGGUUAGAGCUUUCCUUUUGCCCUUCAAAGAUCUGGGAAAAGUAUUAAAUUCUCAGGAUCAUCUGUCCUCCUAGAAGUUGUUAAAAGUAUCUCAAAUUCUGACCUAUUCAUUCAUUUUAGGAAAAUCACAACAGUUCUGAUUUCUGUUACCACAACUGAUCCAUCUGCUCUGAUAUAGCAGUGGAGCUGAGAUUCAGCUCAGUUGUAGUCAAACCCAAUCUUUAAAAUAGAAAUAGGUGUUCCCAUUAAGGUGCAGUGGAAAUGAAUCUGACUAGUAUCACGAGGACUCGAGUUUGAUCCCUGGCCCUGCUCAGUGGGUUAAAGAUCCGGUGGUGCCAUGAGCUGUGGUGCAGGCCAGCAGCUGUAGCUCCAAUUUGACCUCUAGGCUGGGAACUUCCAUUUGCCACACCUGUGGCUUAAAAAAGUAAAAAUAAAAUAAAAUAGAAAUAAAAGCCUAAUUGAAGCUUUUUUUCCUGCAAUAGAUCUGGGAGAGGUUUUCUUCUUGUUUCAACCUACUGUUCAGAAAGGAAGCGUUUGAAGACGGCUGCACCUUAAACCAGAGACAACUUUGAUAGCCAACAUGUGUAGAUGGUCCAUUUCAGACAGAACCCUUGAUUUCUGUCCCUCUUGAGAAGCUUAAGUUAGGUUCCCAUUCCUACCUGGUGACAACUCCCCUGGGACGGAGCAGCCACCGAGCCUGUUACACAGCACCUGUGGUUUCCAGUUACCCUCAGUCCCCAGCACACCCUCUUGUGUCUCCUGCCCAAAGGCUCAGGGCUGCAAGUCAUUUCACUUCCCACUUGUACUGCUUGUUUCCUGAUAAUAGAGUUCAUAGAAAAGUGGAAACUCAGUGUACCUGGUGUCUAUAAAAAUGGGGAAAAAAUGAAUAGCCCUCACUCUGCCACUCUGUCCUAGAAUUCUCUCUCUCUUUUUCUUUCUUUCUUUCUUUCUUUUUUCUUUUUUUUUUUUUUUUUUUUUUUUUUUUUUGCUAUUUUAGGGCCACACUCACAGCAUGUGGAAGUUCCCAGGCUAGGAGUUGAAUCGGAGCUGCAGCUGCUGGCCACAGCCACAGCCACAGCAACACCGGAUCUGAGCUGCCUCUAUGACCUACACCGAAGCCACGGCAAUGCUGGUUUCUUAACCCACUGAGCGAGGCCAGGGAUCAAACCCGCAUCCUCAUGGAUACUAGUUGGGUUCAUCACUGCUGAGCCACGACAGGAAUUCUUAGAAUUCUCUCUAAUUCCAGGUUACAAAAGUUGCACCGGGAAACUAGACCUUGCUCACCUAAAGGGUGGUCAGGGGCCAAGGGUCCUUGCAAUCAGAUUACCCAAGGAACAGCUGAAGGAAGUACACGUCCUUAACCAGGUGGGGGGAAAGAAAAAGAACCCAGGGGAGAGUGAUGGGGAGGCACGAGGGCUCUUUUCUUUUUUCCUUUUUUUUUUGGUCACACCUGUGGCAUGUGGAGGUUCCCAGGUUAGGAACCAAACCAGCAGCAACAAUGCUAGAUCCUUAACCAGUAGGCCACCAGGGAACUCCUGGAGGCUCUUUUUAAAUGCUAAAAGAACCGCUAUGUACAUAGUGGAGGGUAAUUGUUCUUUCUUUCUGGGUCUCUAAUGAAGGAACUAAAAGGAAACCAACUUCAGCUUGUUAUAAAGAAAUAGAGAUUUCAGAGUCAGUGUCUUCUGAUGGCUUAGGUUUUUAGACAUUGGUUCGAAUGUGACUUCAUUGCUUUCUAGCUGUUUGACCUUUGGCAAGUUAUGUUAACUCCUGAUAUCUUAACUUUGGACGUAUAAUGUGGAGGUGAUAAUGAUCUAGCGGUUUGUAACUUAUGCAGAGGUUAGUCUAAGUCAGAGAGCUUACGGCCAAAACUGCCAAUAAUCGUAAUGAACCUUUGAAAUUCCUUCAAUUAAACUUAAAUCACAAGGACUUGGGCUCUUUGAAACUCAAAAUCCAACAGCUAAUUUCUUUUCUCUCCUCGCACUGGGCUGUUGCUUUAUUUCCUUGGGCCUUCAUAGGUCAAAGUUUAGUUUAAAAGGAGGAAGCACAGGUAAGUUUUUUUUUUUUUUUUCUCACUUUCUUUUAUUCUCAGCAUACUUAGUUGAAUUGUCACAUGUUACAUGUGAGAAUAAGGCAUGCAUUUAAUGCCAUUGGGGGGAGAAUAAAGUAAUCGUGGACGCGGGUUCAAUCCCUGGCCUCGCUCAGUGAAUUAAGGAUCUGGCGUUGCUGUGAGCUGUGGUGUAGGUCACAGAUCCCCCAUUGCUGUGGCUGUGUGGUAGGCCAACAGCUGUAGCUCCGAUUUGACCCCUAGCUUGGGCACCUCCGUAUGCCACAAGUGUGGCCC